rnacentral:rRNA from 1 species
UACGUAGGGCGCAAGCGUUGUCCGGAUUCACUGGGUGUAAAGGGUGCGCAGGCGGGAAGGUAAGUUAGAGGUGAAAUCUCACGGCUCAACCGUGAAACUGCCUUUGAUACUGCUUUUCUUGAGUUAGGGAGAGGUUGAUGGAAUUCCAGGUGUAGCGGUGAAAUGCGCAGAUAUCAGGAGGAACACCAAUUGCGAAGGCAGCUCGCUGGGACGUUACUGACGCUGAGACGCGAAAGCGUGGGGAGCAAACAGG